GUGUCAGCAGCCGCGGUAAUACGUAGGGGGCAAGCGUUGUCCGGAUUUAUUGGGCGUAAAGCGCGUGUAGGCGGCCACGCAGGUCCGCUGUGAAAACUCGAGGCUCAACCUCGAGCUGUCGGUGGAAACCGCGUGGCUAGAGUCCGGAAGAGGAGACUGGAAUUCCCGGUGUAGCGGUGGAAUGCGCAGAUAUCGGGAGGAACACCCGUGGCGAAGGCGGGUCUCUGGGACGGUACUGACGCUGAGACGCGAAAGCGUGGGGAGCGAACAGGAUUAGAUACCCCCGUAGUCC
rnacentral:rRNA from 1 species